AGGAGGGUGUUCCACAUUAUUAAGCAGAGCACCAUCUUCAUGCAAUAUGGAGAAGAAAAAGGAUCUCUCUGCUGCCGAAAAGAGUGAAAUAGUUCAAUGCCUUGGAUGAGGUAUGAAAACAUUAGAUAUUUCACAAAAACUGAAGCGUGAUCAUCGAACUAUUAAGAGAUUUGUGGCUGAUUCAGAGCACAGACGGGUUUGUGCAGAUAAAGGCACAUUGAGGAAGAUUUCUGCCAGAUCCAUGCAUCAGAUCAAG